rnacentral:rRNA from 1 species
GGUUGCGAUCAUACCAGCACUAAUGCACUGGAUCCCAUCAGAACUCCGCAGUUAAGCGUGCUUGGGCGAGAGUAAUACUAGGAUGGGUGACCCCCUGGGAAGUCCUCGUGUUGCAACCC